rnacentral:lncRNA from 1 species
GCUGGGAGCGCAGGGUGCAAUGCAGAACUGGAAGCACCGAAACUCUGCAUUUUGUGCACAAUUCAGUGCUGGGUGGCCAUUUUUCUAAUUUUUCCUGACGGGCUGUUGGACUCCCCCAAAUGCUCGUGUGGGACUUGAACCCCCCCCUCACCCUUUUGCUAGGGCUGUUUCGGUGUCAAGUGCUCGCAUUUUGGGAUCCCAAAUUGGUGAUCCUUCAGCAAGCUUUAAACCUCAUUAAGAUGUAGCUAACCAUUUGUGAGAAGGAUUUCCCCCCUCCCCCCCUCCCCCGCUUCAAUCCCUCUGGACUUCAUAUGCGUGUUCCCCUGUUCUUUCCAGGGAAGGUUUUAGUCCCUGGUAUGAUGGCUGAAAUGGUGACACGCAAUUCAGUGUGCUGCCAGAUGCUCACCUUCUUUUGGAGUUUGGGAUAGGCUCAGGCAGUAUUAAAAGCUUGCUAAGACGAUACUGUUUUAUGGUUUCCUCCAUUUUCAGGCUAUAUUAGAAGCAUCUAAAAAUACCGGAUCAUCAUUCCUCACAAUGUGACUACAAGACUUUCAAAUAAACAUUCUUAGAUAUAUGCUUUAUAUAUGCCCUUCCCCCCCGCCCCCCUUAACCUUGAAAACUGUUAGUCCUGGUACCUAAUAAAGAGCUACUCUGAUAUCCUUGUUUUGCAACUUGGAAGCUUUGCUGUUGAUUCUGAAUUGAGCGGUUUUUAACAUCAAAUUCUCAUCAUUAAGAAGGGUCAGGUAUUUUAACAAAACUUCUUGAAGAGACACCCCCUAAUGUUCCUAGAAAUCCCCCAGCCUUUGCCAGCUGCAAUAAGCACAUGCACUUAAUGUAAAUUUGUCAAGAAAAUGAUUUUUUCUUGGCCUUUUUUUUAAAAAAAGAUUUAAUUGGGAGCUAGCAGGAAAAUAGACUAUCAAUAUUUCAGCACUACUCCUGCCCUUCCUGCAGCAGCAUUUAUCUCAGCGUAUGAAGUUUCUUUCAGAGGUAAAUGGUAUAGAAGUCCCUUGCUCAAAUAAUGGUUGCACAUUACUGCCCAGAACUAGCUUAGGAAGGCACUUCACUAUCUCGCGCAACCUUAUCUGCUGUUCCACAACUUCAUAACAAACCUAUUGGAACAUAAAAUGACCUUGGAAAGGCAUCUUUCAAUCUGACACGAGGCAUUCUCUUACAGGGAACAACACUGUUCCGCACAGAGCUGAUGUUUUCAAAUGGAUGCUUCUGAACUGAUUUUUUUUUUUUUUUUUUUUUUUUAAGAGAGGGGAGGCAGAUGGGUGGAAUAUUGAAUUUGAAGGGAAAAUGGUUUUUUUGAAACAAACCCACUCAGCUGAAGUUGAAGCACCACUCAGCUGAAGAAGAGGUGUAUUAAGAAUGUACGUACAAUAGUGACACUUAAGUCAUGGGUGAAAACAAGUCUUUAAUUUUAAUCAAAGGAAAACAGCAUUUCCUCUGCCAGUUCUGAUUUGCUCAUUCAUGAGAUCUUCAAAAGCCCAAAUUAUUAGCGG